rnacentral:rRNA from 1 species
UUAAGGGUGCAGGGCGGAUGCCUUGGCACUAGGAGCCGAUGAAGGACGUGAUAAGCUGCGAUAAGCUUCGGGGAGUUGCACGUAAACUUUGAUCCGAAGAUUUCCGAAUGAGGAAACUCACUUAGAGUAAUGUCUAAGUAUCAUUAAGUGAAUACAUAGCUUAAUGAGGGGAACUCAGGGAACUGAAACAUCUAAGUACCUGAAGGAAGAGAAAGAAAUUCGAUUCCGUAAGUAGCGGCGAGCGAACGCGGAUUAGCCCAAACCAAUAAAGUUUUCUUUAUUGGGGUUGCGGACAUAUCAUAACGAAGAGGUAUCGUAAUUGAAGAGGUUUGGAAAGACCCACCACAGAAGGUAAUAGUCCUGUAUGUUAAACGAGAAGACUUCAGAUAUGAUCCAGAGUACCACGGGACACGUGAAACCCUGUGGGAAGCAGGAGGGACCACCCUCCAAGGCUAAAUACUACCUAGUGACCGAUAGCGUAUAGUACCGUGAGGGAAAGGUGAAAAGAACCCCGGGAGGGGAGUGAAAUAGAACCUGAAACCCUGCACUUACAAGCUGUGGAAGCACAUUUCUUGUGUGACCGCGUACUUUUUGUAGAACGGGCCAACGAGUUACGUUAAGUAGCAAGGUUAAGCACUUAAGGUGCGGAGCCGUAGCGAAAGCGAGUUUUAACUGAGCGUUCAGUUACUUGACGUAGACCCGAAACCGGGCGACCUACCCAUGAGCAGGAUGAAGCGAAAGUAAAAUUUCGUGGAGGUCCGAACCCACGAGCGUUGAAAAGCUCGGGGAUGACUUGUGGGUAGCGGUGAAAUUCCAAUCGAGCCCGGAGAUAGCUGGUUCUCCCCGAAAUAGCUUUAGGGCUAGCCUCAAGGUGAGAGAUACGGAGGUAGAGCACUGAAUGUCCUAGGGGGUAUUGCACCUACCGAAGACUAUCAAACUCCGAAUGCCGUCAUCUUAUACUUGGGAGUCAGACUGUGGGUGAUAAGAUUCAUAGUCGAAAGGGCAACAGCCCAGAUCGUCAGCUAAGGUCCCUAAAUGUAAGUUAAGUGGUAAAGGAUGUGGGAUUGCACAGACAACCAGGAUGUUGGCUUAGAAGCAGCCACUCAUUCAAAGAGUGCGUAAUAGCUCACUGGUCGAGUGAUCCUGCGCCGAAGAUUUCCGGGGCUAAAACUUACUACCGAAGCUACGGCAUCAGUAAUGAUGGGUAGGGGAGCUUCCCAUACGGGUUGAAGCAUGACCGUAAGGACAUGUGGACAGUAUGGGAGUGAGAAUGUUGGCAUGAGUAGCGAGAUGUGGGUGAGAAUCCCACAGGCCGUAAACCCAAGGUUUCCAGGGGAAGGUUCGUCCGCCCUGGGUUAGUCGGGACCUAAGCUGAGGCCGAAAGGCGUAGGUGAUGGACAACAGGUUGAUAUUCCUGUACUACCGAUAACCGUUUGAGAGAAGGGAUGACACAGUAGGAUAAGCUAAGCACACUGUUGGUUAUGUGUGCCCAAGCAUUGAGGCAGUCAAAGUAGGCAAAUCCGCUUUGAUAAUGCUGGGAUGUGAUGGGGAGCGAAAUUUAGUAGCGAAGUAGCUGAUUUCACACUGUCAAGAAAAGUCUCUAUCGAGGUUAAAGGUACCCGUACCGCAAACCGACACAGGUGGGUGAGGAGAGUAUCCUAAGGCCAGCGAGAGAACUGUUGUUAAGGAACUCGGCAAAAUGACCCCGUAACUUAGGGAUAAGGGGUGCCACCAUCAGGUGGCCGCAGAGAAUAGGCCCAAGCGACUGUUUACCAAAAACAUAGGUUUCUGCUAAGUCGCAAGACGAUGUAUAGGAGCUGACGCCUGCCCGGUGCUGGAAGGUUAAGGGGAUCUGUUAGAGCAAUCGAAGCAGUGAACUUAAGCCCCAGUAAACGGCGGCCGUAACUAUAACGGUCCUAAGGUAGCGAAAUUCCUUGUCGGGUAAGUUCCGACCCGCACGAAAGGCGUAACGAUUUGGGCACUGUCUCAACAACAGACUCGGUGAAAUUGUAAUUCCGGUGAAGAUGCCGGAUACCUGCGACAGGACGGAAAGACCCCAUGGAGCUUUACUGUAGCUUGACAUUGGGUCUUGGUACUACAUGUACAGGAUAGGUGGGAGGCUUUGAAACCAGGACGCCAGUUUUGGCGGAGCCAUCCUUGGGAUACCACCCUUGUAGUACUGGGACUCUAACCAUAGGCCAUGAAUCUGGUCUUGGGACACUGUCAGGUGGGCAGUUUGACUGGGGCGGUCGCCUCCCAAAAGGUAACGGAGGCGCUCAAAGGUUCUCUCAGUACGGUCGGAAAUCGUACGUAGAGUGUAAAGGCAAAAGAGAGCUUGAUUGCAAGACAUACAGGUCGAGCAAGGAUGAAAAUCGGACUUAGUGAUCCGGUGGUUCUGCGUGGAAGGGCCAUCGCUCAACGGAUAAAAGCUACCCUGGGGAUAACAGGCUUAUCUCCCCCAAGAGUCCACAUCGACGGGGAGGUUUGGCACCUCGAUGUCGGCUCAUCACAUCCUGGGGCUGUAGUAGGUCCCAAGGGUUGGGCUGUUCGCCCAUUAAAGUGGUACGCGAGCUGGGUUCAGAACGUCGUGAGACAGUUCGGUCCCUAUCCGUCGCAGGCGUAGGAAAUUUGAGAAGACCUGUCCUUAGUACGAGAGGACCGGGAUGGACGUACCUCUGGUGUACCAGUUGUUCUGCCAAGGGCAUGGCUGGGUAGCUAUGUACGGAAUGGAUAAGCGCUGAAAGCAUCUAAGCGCGAAGCCAACUUCAAGAUAAGAUUUCCCACCGCAAGGGUAAGACCCCAGAAAGACUAUCUGGUUGAUAGGUCGAAGGUGUAAGUGCAGCAAUGUAUUUAGCUUAUCGAUACUAAUAGGUCGAGGACUUGACC